UACGAAGGGGGCUAGCGUUGCUCGGAUUGACUGGGCGUAAAGGGCGCGUAGGCGGAUAGUACAGUCAGGCGUGAAAUUCCUGGGCUCAACCUGGGGGCUGCGUUUGAUACGUAUUGUCUGGAGUUCGGAAGAGGGUCGUGGAAUUCCCAGUGUAGAGGUGAAAUUCGUAGAUAUUGGGAAGAACACCGGUGGCGAAGGCGGCGAGCUGGUCCAUUACUGACGCUGAGGCGCGACAGCGUGGGGAGCAACAGG
rnacentral:rRNA from 1 species